UACGUAGGGCGCAAGCGUUGUCCGGAAUUAUUGGGCGGAAAGAGCUCGUAGGCGGUUUGUCGCGUCUGCUGUGAAAACCUAAGGCUCAACCUUGGGCUUGCAGUGGGUACGGGCAGACUAGAGUGCGGUAGGGGUGACUGGAAUUCCUGGUGUAGCGGUGGAAUGCGCAGAUAUCAGGAGGAACACCGAUGGCGAAGGCAGGUCACUGGGCCACAACUGACGCUGAGGAACGAAAGCCAGGGUAGCGAAAGGG
rnacentral:rRNA from 1 species